rnacentral:rRNA from 1 species
UACGUAGGUGGCAAGCGUUGUCCGGAUUUACUGGGCGUAAAGCGUAUGCAGGCGGAUACUUAAGUAGGAAGUGAAAGGUGGGAGCUCAACUCCCACAUUGCUCCCUACACUGGGUGUCUUGAGUGGCGGAGAGGGAGAGGGAACGACACGUGUAGCGGUGAAAUGCGUUGAUAUGUGUCGGAACACCAAUGGCGAAAGCACUCUCCUGGACGCAAACUGACGCUGAGAUACGAAAGCCAAGGUAGCAAACAGG